CUGAUGGCGAGCCACGCGUGUUGCCGACGCCGUCUCCUCGCGGCCCCCGAGGAGGCCGGAUGACGCUUCGUCCGUAAGUUCGCGCUCGCCCGUGACUUCCAGGCCAAACGGCUAAGUGGGUCACCUCCCGUAAGGGACAGUCCGCUCUUCCGAUGAUCCUUCAGCGGCGAGGAUGGCGAGGAAGGGGGGUUUUUGCCAAGCGCCGUCGCGUACAACCGUCUACGUGCGUGACGGUUCGCAGUGCUCGGCGCAACUAACACCUGCCGAUACGAGACGAAAGCCUCGCCACGGCAGAACCUGCCCUUUGACGUCCAUGCACAACAUGCACCAGCACUGUAUUUUAUUGAUGUCCAGUACUUUGAAGUCUAAGUAUAAACCUUGCUAGCACGGUGCCACUAAUCCGUGACAAAUUGGGCAAAGUAGAGGCUGCAUUUCAUCGAAUCAAGGAACGUUUGACGUAUAGACCGGUGACGUGUUAAUGGUCAUGGCACUGUUUGCUGAACGAAUUAUGUCCAGACGAUACAAAACAUUAAG